rnacentral:rRNA from 1 species
CUCUCGGCAACGGAUAUCUCGGCUCUCGCAUCGAUGAAGAACGUAGCGAAAUGCGAUACCUGGUGUGAAUUGCAGAAUCCCGCGAACCAUCGAGUCUUUGAACGCAAGUUGCGCCCGAGGCCACUCGGCCGAGGGCACGCCUGCCUGGGCGUCACGCCAAAACA